UGCAACAAACAGAAAACAAGAACACUCAAUCAAUGAAAACAGAACCCUCUCUAACUCGCGCUCUCCCAUGAAUCUCUCAACUCCAAACUUUUCUCACAAUAACAAAGACAGGAGAUGUGAACAAGUUUCAAGAUGAAAAUAAAAUAGAAGAAGCAAGAAGAAGAUCGAAGGAGGAAAAAAAGGGGAUUCGUCACCUGAGCAGCCACUGUGUCGAAGCUUCAUCUGGUAGGUUGUUCUUAACCUUUUGUUUCUUUCAUCCGCGUGAAAGAAGGAGUUUUUAGAGAAUCAAAUCCAUGCGAUCCGAUUUAGAAAAGUUGAAAGGGGAACGAUGAUUCCGAUUAUGGUAUUCGGAGUGGGUUGCUUGUUAUUCUUUGUUUGAUUUUCUUUGAGAAAUUUUGCGCGAAGCUAGAGGAAAUUGAUGUCGCGUUCACGGAGGUUAUACACCGUUUUUGUUCCUCGUGUUUCAUCAUUGUGCCAUGAAUGCUCUGUUCACACGCGUGCAUUUUGAAUGAGCGUGUUUCUAGAAAUCCUGGCAAUGAGUUCUUGUGAUGAAGCCAGGUUUGGGUUAAGAGAAUUGGGCCUCCAAGUAAGCAUUUGCUUCCCACCACACUCCAAUCUUUUUUUCACACCCCCAGGCCCAUUAACCCUUGAUUUUGGUCCUUAAUCCCAAUUAAUCCAUGUUUAAUCAUGGAUUUUAUUUAAUUUUUGUUAAUUAAUCUUGCCACUGAUUUCUUGCUAGGGUAUAAUUAGGAUCAAUUCGUAGUUUUAG
rnacentral:lncRNA from 1 species